GACGAACGCUGGCGGCGUGCCUAAUACAUGCAAGUAGAACGCUGAAGGAGGAGCUUGCUUCUCCGGAUGAGUUGCGAACGGGUGAGUAACGCGUAGGUAACCUGCCUGGUAGCGGGGGAUAACUAUUGGAAACGAUAGCUAAUACCGCAUAACAGUAGAUGUUGCAUGACAUUUGCUUAAAAGGUGCAAUUGCAUCACUACCAGAUGGACCUGCGUUGUAUUAGCUAGUUGGUGAGGUAACGGCUCACCAAGGCGACGAUACAUAGCCGACCUGAGAGGGUGAUCGGCCACACUGGGACUGAGACACGGCCCAGACUCCUACGGGAGGCAGCAGUAGGGAAUCUUCGGCAAUGGACGGAAGUCUGACCGAGCAACGCCGCGGGAGUGAAGAAGGUUUUCGGAUCGUAAAGCUCUGUUGUAAGAGAAGAACGAGUGUGAGAGUGGAAAGUUCACACUGUGACGGUAUCUUACCAGAAAGGGACGGCUAACUACGUG
rnacentral:rRNA from 1 species